AAAAAAAAAAAAAAAACGUUGGUUUAAUUGAAGAAUAAGAACAUUGAGAAGAAAUCAGGCAAUGGAACCGAAGCUGUCCCAUUCCCUCCGUUUUGCCUCCUUCACCAACUAACCAUCUCUCCGCAUAACAUCAAAUCUUCCCCCUUCCUCAUUGAUUUCGUUUCUCCAAUCCCAGAUUUUGAAUUUUCUCUUCAUAAUCCCAACAGUUUUUCCACUGCAACGCCCCGAUCUUCCUUUUCCUCAACCAUUCUCAUGAAUUUCCCCAUCAUUUCUGCUCUCGUUGCCUUCGCAAUCGCCCAGUCCAUCAAGUUCUUCACUACUUGGUAUAAGGAAAGGCGAUGGGAUUUUAAGAGACUAGUUGGAUCUGGUGGAAUGCCUUCAUCUCAUUCUUCAACUGUUUCUGCUCUUGCUGUAGCCAUUGGCCUUCAAGAAGGCUUUGGAGCUUCAGCUUUUGCUGUUGCAUUGAUCUUAGCCUGUGUUGUAAUGUACGAUGCAACUGGUGUAAGAUUACAAGCUGGGCGCCAAGCAGAGGUUUUAAAUCAAAUUGUUUACGAGCUUCCUGCUGAACAUCCUUUGGCUGAGAGCAGACCACUGCGAGAACUUCUUGGUCACACCCCUCCCCAGGUUGUAGCUGGAGGCUUACUUGGUAUUAUCACCUCUUCUAUUGGCCAUUUGAUAAUCAUAAUAACUAAGUCUUGAACAUUAUGAUGAUGAAAUAGAUGAAGCCGUAACCAGUCGGUAGCUCAAAUCUUGUCAUUAAUGAAGGCUGGUUGGUGGAAACUUCAGUGUCAGAUUAUUCUUGUGAAUACGGUCUUCUGCACAUAAAGCUCUGAUCACAGGCUUUUGAUUUGGUAGGUAACAUCACCAAAGUGUAUCAUCAGAUUUGACUAUGAAGAAAGACACUUGAAGUGAGACGGCACCAUCUUGUGCAAUGCAACAAGAAUUGGCCUUCUAUCAUUGGAAAAGAAAAUGUACAGGUGACCAUAUAUUUUCCCCCGAGUGCAAUACGUGCGAGUGAGAUUUCAAACAUCUGAGCACAUAUUCAUAAUAAUAGUACGUGUAUGAACAAAUAUCAAAUCUAAUUCUUCUGUGUAAGUAAGAAUCUUUAUUUUGAAGUUUGAAUGGUAUAAUGUUGAAUUCCUGUGGAAGUACAUUUCGUUCUGUAAUGUGCCCCAAGUUCCCAAUAAAAAUUAUUCGCCAAUGGCAA